rnacentral:rRNA from 1 species
ACUCCUACGGGAGGCAGCAGUGGGGAAUUUUGGACAAUGGGGGCAACCCUGAUCCAGCAAUGCCGCGUGAGUGAAGAAGGCCUUCGGGUUGUAAAGCUCUUUUGUCAGGGAAGAAACGGUGGUGGCGAAUAACUACUACUAAUGACGGUACCUGAAGAAUAAGCACCGGCUAACUACGUGCCAGCAGCCGCGGUAAUACGUAGGGUGCAAGCGUUAAUCGGAAUUACUGGGCGUAAAGCGUGCGCAGGCGGUUGUGUAAGUCAGAUGCGAAAUCCCCGGGCUCAACCUGGGAAUUGCAUUUGAGACUGCACGGCUAGAGUGUGUCAGAGGGGGGUAGAAUUCCACGUGUAGCAGUGAAAUGCGUAGAUAUGUGGAGGAAUACCGAUGGCGAAGGCAGCCCCCUGGGAUAACACUGACGCUCAUGCACGAAAGCGUGGGGAGCAAACAGGAUUAGAAACCCGGGUAGUCCCAU